GGUCUAAGGCAAACCACCCUGAAAAGACCAGAUUCUACCUGAUCUCAGAAGUGAAGCGGGGUCAGACCUGGUUAUUGCUUGGGCGGGAGAAACCAGAGGCUCCUCCA
rnacentral:rRNA from 1 species